ACUCGAGCGGCGAACGGGUGAGUAACACGUGAGUAAUCUGCCUCUGGCUUCGGGAUAGCCACCGGAAACGGUGAUUAAUACCGGAUAUGACAUCUUCACGCAUGUGAUGGGUGUGGAAAGUUUUUUCGGCCAGGGAUGUGCUCGCGGCCUAUCAGCUUGUUGGUGGGGUAAUGGCCUACCAAGGCUUCGACGGGUAGCCGGCCUGAGAGGGUGACCGGCCACACUGGGACUGAGACACGGCCCAGACUCCUACGGGAGGCAGCAGUGGGGAAUAUUGGACAAUGGGCGGAAGCCUGAUCCAGCAACGCCGCGUGAGGGAUGACGGCCUUCGGGUUGUAAACCUCUUUCAGCACAGACGAAGCGCAAGUGACGGUAUGUGCAGAAGAAGGACCGGCCAACUACGUGCCAGCAGCCGCGGUAAUACGUAGGGUCCGAGCGUUGUCCGGAAUUAUUGGGCGUAAAGGGCUCGUAGGCGGUUUGUCGCGUCGGGAGUGAAAACACCGGGCUUAACUCGGUGCUUGCUUUCGAUACGGGCAGACUAGAGGCAUUCAGGGGAGAACGGAAUUCCUGGUGUAGCGGUGAAAUGCGCAGAUAUCAGGAGGAACACCGGUGGCGAAGGCGGUUCUCUGGGAAUGUCCUGACGCUGAGGAGCGAAAGUGUGGGGAGCGA
rnacentral:rRNA from 1 species